CUAAAGGCAUUUUUAUAAAACCAUUAAUUAUUUUUAUUUAAGUCGUUCAAAAUCAUGAAGCCGAGCAUGAGGAAGCUGGGUGAUUAGAUUUUGGCUCACAGCCUGAUAAACGAUUUUAAACCCUUAAUCAUCAACAAGCUGCUUUCCUCGAAUAAACAGUUCGUUAAAGAUAGAAGAGAUGGGGGCUAGGCUAAACAGGAUAUACUAUUAUUGGUAACUAUCAUGAUUUAAAAAUGUUGAUUCUGCCGAACAAGUUACAACAAUGUAUUUAGUCAGACCACCUAUG